rnacentral:rRNA from 1 species
UACGUAGGGCGCAAGCGUUUAUCCGGAAUUAUUGGGCGUAAAGAGCUCGUAGGCGGUUUUGUCGCGUCUGCCGUGAAAAGUCCGGGGGCUCAACUCCGGAUCUGCGGUGGGUACGGGCAGACUAGAGUGAUGUAGGGGAGACUGGAAUUCCUGGUGUAGCGGUGAAAUGCGCAGAUAUCAGGAGGAACACCGAUGGCGAAGGCAGGUCUCUGGGCCGAUACUGACGCUGAGGAGCGAAAGCGUGGGGAGCGAACAGG